CCAAUUACAUUCUUCAUAGUGAUUAGACAAUCACAUACUUUAUAAAGUUUUCCCCUGAUAUCUCCAGUAUCCAACUGUACCACUUAACCUUAAACUCUCAUUAAAUUUAAUGAGACCAAAUCUAAAUCUAAAGCACUAUGAUUCUCACUUCAUGUCUCCUCUUAGUCCCCUUUAAUACCUUAUACAAAUGUAAUUAACAAAGGAAAGAUAUGAAGGCAAAAUAAAGAGAGGAAUGUACACAGUCAAGCCCUUGAACAAUUAGAACAGCUGUGCCUACCAUUACUUCU